rnacentral:rRNA from 1 species
UACGUAGGGUGCGAGCGUUGUCCGGAAUUAUUGGGCGUAAAGAGCUUGUAGGCGGUUUGUCGCGUCUGCUGUGAAAUCUCAAGGCUCAACCUUGAGCUUGCAGUGGGUACGGGCAGACUAGAGUGUGGUAGGGGAGACUGGAAUUCCUGGUGUAGACGGUGAAAUGCGCAGAUAUCAGGAGGAACACCGAUGGCGAAGGCAGGUCUCUGGGCCGACUACUGACGCUGAGAAGCGAAAGCGUGGGGAGCGAACAGG